rnacentral:rRNA from 1 species
GUGAGGAAUUUUCCGCAAUGGGCGAAAGCCUGACGGAGCAAUGCCGCGUGAAGGAUGAAGGCCUAUGGGUUGUAAACUUCUUUUCUCAGAAAAGAAUUAUGACGGUAUCUGAGGAAUAAGCAUCGGCUAACUCUGUGCCAGCAGCCGCGGUAAGACAGAGGAUGCAAGCGUUAUCCGGAAUGAUUGGGCGUAAAGCGUCUGUAGGUUGUUUAAAAAGUAUUCUGUCAAAGAUUAGGGCUUAACCCUAGAUAGGCAGAAUAAACUUUUAAGCUAGAGUUUGGUAGAGGCAGAGGGAAUUCCCGGUGGUGCGGUGAAAUGCGUAGAUAUCGGGAGGAACACCAAAGGCGAAGGCACUCUGCUGGGCCAAUACUAACACUGAGAGACGAAAGCGAGGGGAGCAAACAGGAUUAGAAACCCGUGUAGUCC